rnacentral:misc_RNA from 1 species
GCCAGUGCAUGCUGAGGAAUAUGAUUUUUUUUUUUAAUGAAAAUCUUUUGUUCCAAACAAGCUAAUUUUGUGAAAUUCAAUUGCUCCGAACAAGCUCGAAUGAUAAAUUGCAUGUGAAAUAAAUAGUUAAAACGUUAUCAUUCACGAGAUGGAGAGAGGUAAAAUGAUAUUUAUUCAUAGAAGGCCAAAUGGCUAUUAUGUCAAGUAAACACACCUCUCUUCAGCCUCAACAUGCUUAUCACCCAAUUUCACAUCUUUUCCAAGCAUAACAAUUUCUUGUUUGAUGACCUCUUCAUCUCUUUUAGCUUCAUUCUUCUCAAUCUGAUUCUCCUUCAUAUUGAUCAACUCCAUGAGGCUUUCAAGUGCAACUUGAGGGUCUUCACACUUCAUAAGUUGCUGAGCUACCUCUGCUGGGGUUAUGGCUAUCCUUUGAAUGAGGUCUUCAAUGCAUUUGAAGAGAAGAUGGUCUUUAAUCCCAAGGUAAGUGUUAACAAGUUUCUUGAAGCCUGCUGGAGUGCAAUGGCCCAUGUAGAUGUGAACAUCCAUGCGUCCUGGGCGUAGCAAUGCUGGGUCCAAUUUGUCUUUGUAAUUUGUGGUAAAUAUGAUUACUCUCUCAUCUCCACAGCUUGACCAUAGCCCAUCAAUGAAAUUCAAUAAGCCUGAUAAUGUUACCCCAGGAUGAAAAGAAAGUCUGUCAUCGGAUUGAUCGCGGUCAUCAUCGUCACUGUCAUCAUUAUUGGGGAUCCGACUGCGACUGCGUGCACGGGAAGAUUUGGUGCUGCAAUCAAUGUCCUCAAUAAGAAGGAUGGAACGAUUGGUGGUGGAUGUGAGUAUACGCCUGAGAUCACUAUCAUUCCGUACACCUUGAAGCUGGAGAUCAUAGAUAUGGAAUCUAAGAUAGUUAGCAAUAGCAGCAACAAGAGUAGAUUUUCCAGUCCCAGGAGGACCAUACAGAAGAUACCCUCUCUUCCAAGCCCUGCCGACACUCUGGAAGUACUUCUUGCGUUGUAAAAACAAGUCAAGAUCUUGUACGAUAGAUUCCUUAAGGUCAGGUUCCAAAGCCAGAGUCUCAAAGCUAGCUGGGUGCUUGAAAACAGUAGAUUCCCACACGGAACCAUCAUGGUCAUAAGUGUAAAGAUUAAGGGUCUCGCGCUUGCUCAAGAUUGAUUCUGCAGUGCUAGAAAUAUGAGGCAAGUAACUCUCUAUAACUCUUUCUCUGUCUUUCUUGCUGCAACUCAACUCGAAGAAUCGCCUGUUCCUAAAAUAAUACUUCUUGGCUUCUUUCUCACGAAGAAUCCAUUCCAGGCGCAUACCUUGGAAGUCAUCGAUGACUUUAGCAUCAACAGGAAGGCCUGGUUUGGGUGGAGCAGUGAUAUUGUUACUGUCAUUAUUGCCAAGGAGGAGGCUUUUGGUGGAGGGACCGAUCCUGGUAGGAAGAUAUACCUCAAUAGCACGGAAAGUUUCGCUGUUAACAGCUUGCCAGCGAUCUUCAAUGAUGAAGGUGAAAUCCGAAGAGAAAUAGGAAGAAAAGAAAUCAGAGAAUUUGGUGGUGAUGAAAUCCCGCAUACGCUUCGGGAUCAUUUCGUUAACGAUUGUACGGAUGAGCAUGGACAAGGUAGAGAUUGAGGCGUAGGCAGAGAGCAGAGUUGACAUGGAAGGAAUUUCUUUGAACAGAGAAGCCAUUGGCUUUGGUGGUGGACGAGAGGACAAGUUAAAGAAAAGAGAAGCACCGACUCGUAGUGCGCUCGUCUCAAGCUUAAAGAUGGUGCAAGGGGGUUUUAUAGGCUGAAGAUGGGAAAAUAUAAGGUGACAAAAAUUUAGUUAUUUGUUAGACUUCAGAAUUAAGAAUUGAAAUUAAU